AUUGAACGCUGGCGGAAUGCUUUACACAUGCAAGUCGAACGGCAGCACGGACUUCGGUCUGGUGGCGAGUGGCGAACGGGUGAGUAAUAUAUCGGAACGUGCCCAGUCGUGGGGGAUAACGUAGUGAAAAUUACGCUAAUACCGCAUACGAUCUAUGGAUGAAAGCGGGGGAUCGCAAGACCCCGCGCGAUUGGAGCGGCCGAUAUCAGAUUAGGUAGUUGGUGAGGUAAAGGCCCACCAAGCCAACGAUCUGUAGCUGGUCUGAGAGGACGACCAGCCACACUGGAACUGAGACACGGUCCAGACUCCUACGGGAGGCAGCAGUGGGGAAUUUUGGACAAUGGACGCAAGUCUGAUCCAGCCAUUCCGCGUGCAGGACGAAGGCCUUCGGGUUGUAAACUGCUUUUGUACGGAACGAAAAGGUCUCUAUUAAUACUAGGGGCUCAUGACGGUACCGUAAGAAUAAGCACCGGCUAACUACGUGCCAGCCGCCGCCGUAA
rnacentral:rRNA from 1 species